rnacentral:rRNA from 1 species
UAAGCCUGUGAAGGUGUGUCGUGAGGCAUGCUGGAGGUAUCAGAAGUGCGAAUGCUGACAUAAGUAACGAUAAAGCGGGUGAAAAGCCCGCUCGCCGGAAGACCAAGGGUUCCUGUCCAACGUUAAUCGGGGCAGGGUGAGUCGACCCCUAAGGCGAGGCCGAAAGGCGUAGUCGAUGGGAAACGGGUUAAUAUUCCCGUACUUGGUGUUACUGCGAAGGGGGGACGGAGAAGGCUAUGUUGGCCGGGCGACGGUUGUCCCGGUUUAAGCGUGUAGGUGUGUGUUCCAGGUAAAUCCGGUUCACUUUAACACUGAGGCGUGACGACGAGGCACUACGGUGCUGAAGCAACAAAUGCCCUGCUUCCAGGAAAAGCCUCUAAGCAUCAGGUAACAUCAAAUCGUACCCCAAACCGACACAGGUGGUCAGGUAGAGAAUACCAAGGCGCUUGAGAGAACUCGGGUGAAGGAACUAGGCAAAAUGGUGCCGUAACUUCGGGAGAAGGCACGCUGACACGUAGGUGAAGUGAUUUACUCAUGGAGCUGAAGUCAGUCGAAGAUACCAGCUGGCUGCAACUGUUUAUUAAAAACACAGCACUGUGCAAACACGAAAGUGGACGUAUACGGUGUGACGCCUGCCCGGUGCCGGAAGGUUAAUUGAUGGGGUCAGCGCAAGCGAAGCUCCUGAUCGAAGCCCCGGUAAACGGCGGCCGUAACUAUAACGGUCCUAAGGUAGCGAAAUUCCUUGUCGGGUAAGUUCCGACCUGCACGAAUGGCGUAAUGAUGGCCAGGCUGUCUCCACCCGAGACUCAGUGAAAUUGAACUCGCUGUGAAGAUGCAGUGUACCCGCGGCAAGACGGAAAGACCCCGUGAACCUUUACUAUAGCUUGACACUGAACAUUGAGCCUUGAUGUGUAGGAUAGGUGGGAGGCUUUGAAGUGUGGACGCCAGUCUGCAUGGAGCCGACCUUGAAAUACCACCCUUUAAUGUUUGAUGUUCUAACGUGGACCCGUGAUCCGGGUUGCGGACAGUGUCUGGUGGGUAGUUUGACUGGGGCGGUCUCCUCCUAAAGAGUAACGGAGGAGCACGAAGGUUGGCUAAUCCUGGUCGGACAUCAGGAGGUUAGUGCAAUGGCAUAAGCCAGCUUGACUGCGAGCGUGACGGCGCGAGCAGGUGCGAAAGCAGGUCAUAGUGAUCCGGUGGUUCUGAAUGGAAGGGCCAUCGCUCAACGGAUAAAAGGUACUCCGGGGAUAACAGGCUGAUACCGCCCAAGAGUUCAUAUCGACGGCGGUGUUUGGCACCUC